rnacentral:misc_RNA from 1 species
CAGAGUUGUCGACAUGAGUUGUUGCUGGCCCUCGAGUGGGGGCAUGUGCACGCUCUGUUCACACAUCCACUCACACCUGUGCACCCUCUGUAGUUCUAUGGUCUGGGGGACGUGCGCCGUCUUCCUCCCGUGGUUCUAUGUCUUUACACAUACGCCGUAGCCAAGUCUCGUGGAAUGUACCCUGCGUUUAACGCAAUAUAAUA